rnacentral:rRNA from 1 species
AUUGAACGCUGGCGGCAUGCCUUACACAUGCAAGUCGAACGGUAACAGGUCUUCGGAUGCUGACGAGUGGCGAGCGGGUGAGUAAUACAUCGGAACGUGCCCGAUCGUGGGGGAUAACGCAGCGAAAGCUGUGCUAAUACCGCAUACGAUCUACGGAUGAAAGCGGGGGAUCGCAAGACCUCGCGCGGACGGAGCGGCCGAUGGCAGAUUAGGUAGUUGGUGGGAUAAAAGCUUACCAAGCCGACGAUCUGUAGCUGGUCUGAGAGGACGACCAGCCACACUGGGACGGGGACACGGCCCAGACCCCAACGGGAGGAAGCGGUGGGGAAUUUUGGACAAUGGGCGCAAGCCUGAUCCAGCCAUGCGGCGUGAAGGAUGAAGGCCUUCGGGUUGUAAACUGCUUUUGUACGGAACGAAAAGCUCUCUCUAAUACAGGGGGUGAAUGACGGUACCGUAAGAAUAAGCACCGGCUAACUACGUG